UUUACUUUCAUCUGUUUUUAGUAUCAGACUACUGUCCCCUGUGCUCAGCCUGAUUCUGUUCCUCAUUACACUGGAGUUGGUCAAUGUUCAUGCUGUUUGUGGAAAGAAUGCGCAUGAGUAUCAGCAGUACCUAAAGUUUGUAAAGUCGAUCUUGCAGUACACUGAGAACCUGGUGGCUUACACCCAUUACGGAAAGAACAACUGGAAUGAAACUAUCAAUCUUACACAUACAACUUUGUUGAAAAUUUGGACUUUUAGUGAGAAGAAACAAAUGUUAAUACGUUUAGCCAAGAAAUCCACAAGUAAAGUACUCAUGAAAACCUAUA